rnacentral:misc_RNA from 1 species
CUGUAAUUAAAUGUUUACAUCUAAUGGAUUUGAUAUGCUUGCAGAUUAAUUAGAUGUUUACAUAGCUGCAUUAACUUUUAUUAGUGUUUCCUGUUUUUACACAAGUACUACCUUUUACGUAAUUGAGGAAUAACUUUUAAAAUAUAAUAGCAAUAUAAAAUCAUAUAACACUGUUUUUCUUUAGUAUCUAUUGGUUAUUUGUACAAAUAUUUAAAUAUAGAAAUUGAAACAAAGUAAAAAUUAGUAGUUCAUACAAUACUGUCUAAACAAUAAACUAGAAUAGAUGGAAGACGCAAGGAAUUUAUAAUAAUGUUUUUUCAACUACAAUCAAUGCUUUCAAUGCCUCAUCGAUCAACGAUGCGCUGGAACUAUUGGAAACAAUAAGUGAAUAUUUUCUACAAUUUUGUUAUAUUACGCUAUUCAUUCAUUGUCGAUAGUGUAACAUUUGCCAACAAAUUUUCCAUGAUCACCAUGCAAAUAUUUGUUGUUUGUCCAUAUCUUUCAAUAAACAGUUAAAUUGGACUAAAUGUUAUAUUAUGCACGACAUACAGAAACCAAAGACAUAAUUUUAAAUAAACAGAUACAGCAAUAAGGUGUAAAAUUUCUUUACAUACAUGAUUAAUUUUUGGACUCUGUAUUAUCGUUUGUUAGACCAGUCAACUGAGACUAGAAAAUAUUUUACUUAAAUAAUUU